rnacentral:rRNA from 2 species
GGGUUGUGAGGUUAAGCGACUAAGCGUACACGGUGGAUGCCCUGGCAGUCAGAGGCGAUGAAGGGCGUGCUAAUCUGCGAUAAGCGCCGGUAAGGUGAUAUGAACCGUUAUAACCGGCGAUACCCGAAUGGGGAAACCCAGUGUGACUCGUCACACUAUCAUUAACUGAAUCCAUAGGUUAAUGAGGCGAACCGGGGGAACUGAAACAUCUAAGUACCCCGAGGAAAAGAAAUCAACCGAGAUUCCCCCAGUAGCGGCGAGCGAACGGGGAGGAGCCCAGAGCCUGAAUCAGCAUGUGUGUUAGUGGAAGCGUCUGGAAAGGCGCGCGAUACAGGGUGACAGCCCCGUACACAAAAGCGCAUGUGCUGUGAGCUCGAUGAGUAGGGCGGGACACGUGGUAUCCUGUCUGAAUAUGGGGGGACCAUCCUCCAAGGCUAAAUACUCCUGACUGACCGAUAGUGAACCAGUACCGUGAGGGAAAGGCGAAAAGAACCCCGGCGAGGGGAGUGAAAAAGAACCUGAAACCGUGUACGUACAAGCAGUGGGAGCACCCUUUGGGGUGUGACUGCGUACCUUUUGUAUAAUGGGUCAGCGACUUAUAUUCUGUAGCAAGGUUAACCGAAUAGGGGAGCCGGAGGGAAACCGAGUCUUAAUUGGGCGUUAAGUUGCAGGGUAUAGACCCGAAACCCGGUGAUCUAGCCAUGGGCAGGUUGAAGGUUGGGUAACACUAACUGGAGGACCGAACCGACUAAUGUUGAAAAAUUAGCGGAUGACCUGUGGCUGGGGGUGAAAGGCCAAUCAAACCGGGAGAUAGCUGGUUCUCCCCGAAAGCUAUUUAGGUAGCGCCUCGUGAAUUCAUCUCCGGGGGUAGAGCACUGUUUCGGCUAGGGGGCCAUCCCGGCUUACCAACCCGAUGCAAACUGCGAAUACCGGAGAAUGUUAUCACGGGAGACACACGGCGGGUGCUAACGUCCGUCGUGAAGAGGGAAACAACCCAGACCGCCAGCUAAGGUCCCAAAGUCAUGGUUAAGUGGGAAACGAUGUGGGAAGGCCCAGACAGCCAGGAUGUUGGCUUAGAAGCAGCCAUCAUUUAAAGAAAGCGUAAUAGCUCACUGGUCGAGUCGGCCUGCGCGGAAGAUGUAACGGGGCUAAACCAUGCACCGAAGCUGCGGCAGCGACGCUGAUGCGUUGUUGGGUAGGGGAGCGUUCUGUAAGCCUGCGAAGGUGUGUCGUGAGGCAUGCUGGAGGUAUCAGAAGUGCGAAUGCUGACAUAAGUAACGAUAAAGCGGGUGAAAAGCCCGCUCGCCGGAAGACCAAGGGUUCCUGUCCAACGUUAAUCGGGGCAGGGUGAGUCGACCCCUAAGGCGAGGCCGAAAGGCGUAGUCGAUGGGAAACGGGUUAAUAUUCCCGUACUUGGUGUUACUGCGAAGGGGGGACGGAGAAGGCUAUGUUGGCCGGGCGACGGUUGUCCCGGUUUAAGCGUGUAGGUGUGUGUUCCAGGUAAAUCCGGUUCACUUUAACACUGAGGCGUGAUGACGAGGCACUACGGUGCUGAAGCAACAAAUGCCCUGCUUCCAGGAAAAGCCUCUAAGCAUCAGGUAACAUCAAAUCGUACCCCAAACCGACACAGGUGGUCAGGUAGAGAAUACCAAGGCGCUUGAGAGAACUCGGGUGAAGGAACUAGGCAAAAUGGUGCCGUAACUUCGGGAGAAGGCACGCUGACACGUAGGUGAAGUGAUUUACUCAUGGAGCUGAAGUCAGUCGAAGAUACCAGCUGGCUGCAACUGUUUAUUAAAAACACAGCACUGUGCAAACACGAAAGUGGACGUAUACGGUGUGACGCCUGCCCGGUGCCGGAAGGUUAAUUGAUGGGGUCAGCGCAAGCGAAGCUCCUGAUCGAAGCCCCGGUAAACGGCGGCCGUAACUAUAACGGUCCUAAGGUAGCGAAAUUCCUUGUCGGGUAAGUUCCGACCUGCACGAAUGGCGUAAUGAUGGCCAGGCUGUCUCCACCCGAGACUCAGUGAAAUUGAACUCGCUGUGAAGAUGCAGUGUACCCGCGGCAAGACGGAAAGACCCCGUGAACCUUUACUAUAGCUUGACACUGAACAUUGAGCCUUGAUGUGUAGGAUAGGUGGGAGGCUUUGAAGUGUGGACGCCAGUCUGCAUGGAGCCGGCCUUGAAAUACCACCCUUUAAUGUUUGAUGUUCUAACGUGGACCCGUGAUCCGGGUUGCGGACAGUGUCUGGUGGGUAGUUUGACUGGGGCGGUCUCCUCCUAAAGAGUAACGGAGGAGCACGAAGGUUGGCUAAUCCUGGUCGGACAUCAGGAGGUUAGUGCAAUGGCAUAAGCCAGCUUGACUGCGAGCGUGACGGCGCGAGCAGGUGCGAAAGCAGGUCAUAGUGAUCCGGUGGUUCUGAAUGGAAGGGCCAUCGCUCAACGGAUAAAAGGUACUCCGGGGAUAACAGGCUGAUACCGCCCAAGAGUUCAUAUCGACGGCGGUGUUUGGCACCUCGAUGUCGGCUCAUCACAUCCUGGGGCUGAAGUAGGUCCCAAGGGUAUGGCUGUUCGCCAUUUAAAGUGGUACGCGAGCUGGGUUUAGAACGUCGUGAGACAGUUCGGUCCCUAUCUGCCGUGGGCGCUGGAGAACUGAGGGGGGCUGCUCCUAGUACGAGAGGACCGGAGUGGACGCAUCACUGGUGUUCGGGUUGUCAUGCCAAUGGCACUGCCCGGUAGCUAAAUGCGGAAGAGAUAAGUGCUGAAAGCAUCUAAGCACGAAACUUGCCCCGAGAUGAGUUCUCCCUGAGACUUAGAGUCUCCUGAAGGAACGUUGAAGACGACGACGUUGAUAGGCCGGGUGUGUAAGCGCAGCGAUGCGUUGAGCUAACCGGUACUAAUGAACCGUGAGGCUUAACCUUACAACGCCGAAG